AUGGAGGCGUUGACGGCGGAGCUUGCGCAGAUGCGCAAGGAAAGCGAGGCCACGGCGGCAGCGAUCCAACUGUUGCUGACCACAGCGAAGAAUCUGGGCACGUGGAUGCCGACAGUCGAUAAGUCCAUGGAGGCGAUGCGCAAAUCACUGGAAGAGGUGGGAGGGCGCGUCACGGCGUUGGAGACAGGGGUACCGAUGAUCACACCGUAUCUCGCUCCAGAGCAGGCGAGGGGAGCGGAGGCCGAUGAGCAAUUGGGGGACGCAUCUCGGGCGGCCAUGGCACCAGCGCCGGGUCUGAACAAGAGUAAGAAGCAGUUCCCUCAAACUCCGGUUCGUUUCGAAUUAGGAGACUAUACAGGCAUGGAGGACAGCGAAGGAUCGAGCAUCAGAGGCCGAUUUGGGUCAUCACGGCUGCCAAAAACUGAUUUCCCUCGAUUUGAUGGGGAGAACCCGAGAUGGUGGAAGGGGGUGUGCGAGAAAUACUUCUCCAUGUACCAGGUUCCUCGAAAUACUUGGGCAGCAUUCGCCACAAUGCAUUUCACGGGGAAUGCUGCGUUGUGGCUACAGACCUAUGAGGCAGAUCAUGAGGUGGAGAGCUGGGAAGAGCUGGUGGUGGCCAUACAUUCCAAGUUUGGCAAGGAUAAACAUCUGAAGUAUCUCGAAGCACUGGAGAGAUGCAAACAAGUUGAUACAGUGGAGAACUACCAUCACAAAUUUGAGGAGCUCAGACACAAAGUCUUAGUGCAUAACAGGCACUAUGAUGAGGCGUUCUUUGUCACCAAGUUUGUGGGAGGGCUGCACCUGAACAUCCAGAAGGCCAUCAGGUUGCACAACCCAAAAACAGUGGACACCGCUCUCUCCUUGGCACUCACACAGGAAGAACUGCUGGAAGAAGCGAGACAAUACUCAAGUGCUAAAUUCAAGCACAACUACAAAACAAACUUCAGUCAUCCCUCCCCUGCAAAAGGAAUUUUGUCUGCACCCAAUGCUGAAGAGAGGAAACAUAUUCCUGACAAACCGCCUUGGGAAGACAGGUUUUCUUCCUUGAGAGCCCAGAGAAGGGCUAGAGGCGAAUGCUUCAAGUGUGGAGACAAAUUUCAACCAGGCCACAAGUGCGCCAAGUCUGUACCACUACACAGAGUGGAAGAACUGAUAGACAUUUUGAUGCUACAGUCCAAUUCCGACAAUGAAAAUGAUCAGCAGGAGUCUAGCAGUGGGGGAGAGGAAGAUGUAAUGUUGAUAUCUCAAUGCGCCACUGGUGGGGGUGUCGGUAAGAAAACAAUCAGGCUACAAGGGUGGAUGCAUGGCAAGCAAGUGCUGAUCCUAGUCGACUCUGGCAGCUCCGGGAGUUUCAUCAGCGAUAACACUGUAAAAGAUCUAGGCCUGGAGAAAAAGGAGGUGAGCCCAAUCACUGUAACGGUGGCAGAUGGGGGCAAAACAGUGUGCAACGAAAUGGUGGAAAAUUCAGUAUGGAAAUGCCAAGGACAGGUGUUCCAAACACAAUUGAGGGUGUUUGGGCUGUCUGGGUAUGACAUUAUAUUGGGAAUGGACUGGCUCUCUGAAUUCAGUCCAAUGUGGAUUGACUGGAAGAAAAAGGUCAUAAGGUUCAGAUAUGGGACCAAGAGAAUUACACUUAAGGGAGUCAAGGAUAACACAACCAAGUGUGCCCCAAUUUCAGCAGUGGAACUGCAGAAGCAAAUUCAAAAAAGAGCGGUGGUUCAAGUUGUGCAGUUGUGCUCAUUAGAGGAUGCUGGAAAAGAGGUGCUAUUGCCACCUGAAGUAGAACAAGUAUUGUCAGAGCAUACCAAAGUGUUUCAGGAGCCACAAGGCUUACCUCCGCACAGGGUCUUCGACCACAAGAUUGUGCUUGUUCCGGGGGCACAACCCGUGAAUGUGAAACCCUACAGGUACAGUCCCCAGCAGAAGGACGAGAUUGAAAGGCAGAUCACUGAGAUGCUCAAACAAGGAAUCAUCAAGCCCAGCCAUAGUCCAUUUGCUUCUCCGGUGUUGCUGGUCAAGAAAAAGGACGGCAGUUGGAGACUAUGUGUGGACUACAGGCAUCUGAAUGCCAUUACUGUCAAAGACUGA
rnacentral:rRNA from 1 species